rnacentral:sRNA from 2 species
GGACGGACCCCGCCGAACCAUCCGUGCCACUGGCCGGGUGGACCGGGGACCCAUCGAUCCCCUGGGGUGAAUCCUGGCGGCGCACCUGCGUGCGCUCCAGGUAGGGCGUCUUCCAGCCCGAACCCGUCAGCUAACUCGGUAGGCGGUCAGGAAGAACGG